UUUGGGGUCGUGGGUAUUGGGGGUAUCAGUUAUUGGGGGUAUCUGGUUUUGGGGUUUCAGUUAUUGGGGUAUCUGGUUUUGGGGUUUCAGUUAUUGGGGGUAUCUGGCUUUGGGGUCGUGGGUACUGGGGGUAUCUGGUUUUGGGGUUGUGGGUAUUGGGGGUUUCAGUUAUUGGGGUAUCUGGUUUUGGGGUCAUGGAUAUUGGGGGUCUCAGUUAUUGGGGUUAUCUGGUUUUGGGGUCGUGGGUAUUGGGGGUAUCAGUUAAAGGGGGGAUCUGGUUUUGGGGUCAUGGAUAUUGGGGGUUUCAGUUACUGGGGGUAUCUGCUUUUGGGGUCGUGGGUAUUGGGGGUAUCAGUUAUUGGGGUAUCUGGUUUUGGGGUCGUGGGUAUUGGGAGUAUCAGUUAUUGGGGUAUCUGGUUUUGGGAUCGUGGGUAUUGGGGGUAUCAGUUAAAGGGGGGAUCUGGUUUUGGGGUCAUGGAUAUUGGGGGUAUCUGUUUUUUAGGGGUAUCUGGUUUUGGGGUUGUGUGUAUUGGGGGUAUCAGUUAUUGGGGUAUCUGGUUUUGGGGUCGUGGGUAUUGGGGGUAUCAGUUAUUGGGGUAUCUGGUUUUGGGGUCGUGGGUAUUGGGGGGUCAUGGUUAUUGGUGGUAUCUCGUUAUUGGGGUAGUGGUUAUGGGGAGUAUCUGUUACUGGAGGUCAUGGUUAUUGGGGGUAUCUGUUUUUGGGGUCCCGGUUAUUGGGUUUCGGGAUUAUCCGUCAUUAAAGAUCAUGAUAAUUGGGGUUAUCUAUUUGUGGGUCAUGGUUAUUGGGUGAUCAGUUAUUAGGGUCACUGGUUAUUGGGGUUAUGAGCAUUGGGAGUAUCAGCUAUUGGGGUUAUCUAUUGGGGGGUCAUGGUUAUUGGGGUGAUCAGUUAUUAGGGUCACGGGUUAUUGGGGUUAUGAGCAUUGGGAGUAUCAGCUAUUGGGGUUAUCUGUUGGGGGGUCGCGGUUAUCGGGGCUGUUAGGUAUUGGGGUGCUGGUUAUUGGGGUUAUCUGUUCUUGCAGUUGUGGUUUGGGGGGUUAUGGUUGUUGGGGUUAUCAGUUGCUGGAGGCCAUGGUCUUUGGGGUUAUUAGGGUUAUUGGGGUCACGGUUAUUUGGGGUAUCUAUAUUGGGGGUAUCAGUUACUGGGGGUCAUAUUAUUGGGGCUAUUUGGGGUCUCCGUUAUUUGGGGUAUUAGUUAUUGGAGGUAUCCAUCUUUGGGGUUAUGGUUAUUGGGGUGAUCAGUGAUUGGAGGUCAUAGUUACUGGGAUGAUCAGUUGGUAGGGUUAUUGGGGUCAUGGUUAUUGGGGGUAUCAAUAUGUUUUGGGGCUAUCGGUUAUCGGGGUGAUCAGUUAUUGGAGGUCACAGGUAUUGGGGUGAUCGGGUAUUGGGGUUACUGGUUAUUGGGAUCAUUGUUAUUGGGGUUAUCGGGUAUUGGGAAUAGCAGCUGUUGGCAUUAUCGGGGUGAUCAGUUAUUAGGGUUACUGGUUAUUGGGGUCAUGGUCAUUGGGGUUAUCUGUUUUUGGGGUCAUGACAGUGGGGGCUAUUGGGUAUUGAGGAUAUUGGUUGUUGGGGUGAUCAGGUAUUGGGGUUAUCAGGUAUUGGGGUUGUGAUUAUUGGGGUGAUCAGGUAUUGGGGUAUCAGUUAUUGGGGUUGUGAUUAUUGGGGUUAUUGGGUAUUGGGGUAUCAGUUAUUGGGGUUGUGAUUAUUGGGGUUAUCAGGUAUUGGGGUUGUAUUGGGGUUGUGAUUAUUGGGGUGAUCAGGUAUUGAGGUUAUCGGGUGUUGGGGUUGUGAUUAUUGGGGUGAUCAGGUACUGGGGUUGUGAUUAUUGGGGUUAUCGGGUAUUGGGGUUAUCAGGUAUUGGGGUUGUGAUUAUUGGGGUUAUCGGGUAUUGGGGUUAUCAGGUAUUGGGGUUGUGAUUAUUGGGGUUAUCGGGUAUUGGGGUUGUGAUUAUUGGGGUGAUCAGGUAUUGGGGUUGUGAUUAUUGGGGUUAUCGGGUAUUGGGGUAUCAGUUAUUGGGGUUGUGAUUAUUGGGGUUAUCGGGUAUUGGGGUGAUCAGGUAUUGGGGUUGUGAUUAUUGGGGUUAUCAGGUAUUGGGGUGAUCAGGUAUUGGGGUUAUCGGUAUUGGGGUUGUGAUUAUUGGGGUGAUCAGGUAUUGGGGUUGUGAUUAUUAGGGUUAUCAGGUAUUGGGGUAUCAGUUAUUGGAGUUGUGAUUAUUGGGGUAGUGAUUAUUGGGGUUAUCAGGUGUUGGGGUAUCAGUUAUUGGGGUUGUGAUUAUUGGGGUUAUUGGGUAUUGGGGUAUCAGUUGGUGGGGUUAUCAGUUACUGCAGUCGUGGUUAUUGGGAUCAUCGUGGUUGGAGUUCUCACUUAGUGGGUUUAUUGAUUUUUGGGGCCACGGUUGUCGGGGUUUUUGGGGUUAUCAGUUAUCGGAGGUCACAGUUCUUGGGAUUAUCAGUUAUUGGUGUCGUCGUUGUUGGGGUUAUCAGUUAUUGGGGUUAUCAGUUAUCGGAGGUCACAGUUCUUGGAGUUAUCAGUUAUUGGGGUUGUGGUUAUGGGGUUUAUUGAUUCGUUUUUGGGGGCGGCAUCGCAGUCGUUGAGGUUACCAAUUGUUGGGGUUCUCUCUAAAGAAGGGGUGUGUGGCCCUCGAAGAAAGCAGCCAAAACGUGGUGCUGUCCCCCCAAAACAGCCCUAAGAUGUGCGGCCGCAGAGCGACCCCAAAGCGUCCCCCCAAAAAGGGACCUCGUGGUCAAUCGGCCCCACAGGGACGGACGGCCCGGAAGGGAGGAGUGGGGUUGGAGGCCCCGCGUCCCUACUAAUAUGGGAUGCCGAAAAGUCCGAGUGUGUGCAUUAAUAGGGCGGGAGGUUUCGGUAGGUGGCAGUGUGACCCCACAGCCGCUGCUGAACCCCACAACUGCCCGGAAAUGGGGGGAAUUCCCGUAAAUUAUGGGGCUGCUGAGCAUCCCGUUGCUCCGUGUUGAUCACUUGGGGGGCGCCGAGCUCUAUUGGGGUCGUAGUGAUUGAGGGUAUCAGUUAUUGGGGGUAUUGCUUUUUUUGGGGUCACGGUCAUUGGGAGUAUCGGUUAUUGGGAGCAUUGGUUAUUGGGGUCGUGGGUUUUGGGGUUCCAGUGAUUGGGGUCGUGAUUAUUGAGGGUAUUAUCAUGAUUAUUGGGGUGUUAUCAGUUAUUGGGGUCAUGGUUGUUGGGGGUAUUAUUUUUGGGGGGUUAUUGGGGUAUUGGUGGGGGUAUCAGUUAUUGGAGUCACAGAUAUUGGGGGAUUGGUUAUUGGGGUCAUGGCUUGGGGUGGGUCAUGGUGAUUAGGGGUAUUUAGUGGUUAUUGGGGUCAUGGUGAUUGGGGUCAUGGUUAUUGGGGGUAUUGGUUAUUGGAGUCACAGAUAUUGGGGGGCAUAGGUUAUUGGGGUCACAGUUGUUGGAGAGAUGGUUUUGGGGGGGUUAUUGGUUAUUGGGGGUUUUGUUAUUGGGGUUUUGUUAUUGGGAUCAUAGCUAUUGAGGGUAUUGUUUUGGGGGGUUGUCAGUUAUUGGGGUCACGGUUAUUGGGGUGAUGGUUUUGGGGGGUAUCGGUGAUUGGGGUCAUGGUUAUUGAGGGUUUUGUUAUUGGGGUUGUGGUCAUUGGGGCUAUUGGUUAUUGGGGUCACGGUUACCGGGGAUAUCAGUUAUCAGAGUCACAGAUUUUGGGGGCAUUGGUUAUUGGGGUCGCAGCGGAGGCUUGGUUUUGGGGAGUCAUAGCGAUUUGGGGUAUCCAUUUUUGGGGUCGUGGUGAUUGGGUUAUUGGGGGGGGGUUAUUGAGGUCAUGGUUUGGGGGGUAUCCGUUAAUGGAGUCACAGAUAUUUGGGGGUGUAGGUUGUUGGGGUACAGGUUACUGGGGUCACAGUCAUCGGAGGCAUGGUUUGGGGGGUCAUAGUGAUUGGGGUAUCGGUUAUCGGGGUGACGGGGCGUACUGUUUUUGGGGGGGUUGUUGGAGUCACAGGUAUUGAGGCUACGGGUUACUGGGGUCGUAGUUAUCGAUGGUACGGUUUUGGGGCGAUGGUGGUUUUGGGAUGACGGUUAACGGGGUCACGGUUGUUGGAGGUGUUGGUUUGGGGGUUCAAAGAGAUGGUAGGUUGCGGUGGUUGGUUUGGGGGGGUCAUGGUUAUGGGGAAUUGGCUUUUGGGGACACGUGCAUCCCCACCCCGCCCCGCCGGGCUCUGACGUAUCCCAUUAAUCACGGGACUGGAAAAUCACCCGCUGUCUCCGAUUUCCCUCUCCGGGAAGGUCGGGGGGAAGGGCAGCGCCGGGGCUGUGGGGCGGCCCUAUUCCGAUGAGCGCAAUCUCCUGGCGCGGCCCCAAGUGUCACAUGGGGCCGUUGGAGGAGCUCCAUCCCAAUGGGGCCGGGUGGAUCCUGAGUGAUCCUACAGGCGUCGAUCCGAAGGACCCGGCUCCCUUUUUCCCUGACCUGGCACCCACCCCAUUGAGUGGCAUCCCCGUACGGUCCUCUGCUUUGGGGUGGGGGCAGACCCUAUAAAGCAUUGCGGGGGGGAAUUGUGAGCUGUGUGUCAAACGAAAUCCCAUUAGCGAACCCCAAAGCCUUCCGUGAGACCCUCCCCGUGCUGCGGUUCCCUCCUUCACCUUCUGCUGGUGGUGCCGACCCCAUAGGAAUCGCCCCCAGAGAUGCCCCACUUUGGGGACCGGCCAUAUAGAUCCUAAAUAGAUAGAUAUGUGUGGGUUUGGCACGCUGGCCCAGCAGGAGCCCCCCACAUCUAUGGGGCGGAUUCAUCCCUCGUUCCCCAUCGGGAUGUGACCUAAUGGGGAUGCUCCCAUCCCGGCUUUGGGAUGGGGGGCAAUUAUGUGUGUAAUAGGGCAGAAACGAGAACUUUGCCCGCUGUGCAGGUGGAGCUUGAAAGCCCUCAUUCUGCUAUUAGGGUCAUAAAGCUCUCUCCGGUGCCAUAAAUCCUUAUCUUGGUGGAGGGGGACGGAUAGUUCCGGAAACCCAAAGGACAUUCACACCCCAAACCCCACACUGAUGUCUUCCCCCAAUGUCUUCCACAUUGGGGAGUGGUGUGGCCGGGCAGCGGGGUGCGUUUCCCCUACAGGAGCAGUAGGGUCGUUUGGAGUUAGUGGGAUAAGGGCUCUGCUCCGGGUCUGGGGGGUAUUAUAGGGGAUUUCUGUAGGGCAACAAGCCAUGCUGCCAUUGGGCUGACGGCGGCGGUGGGCUGCGUGCAUUGGAUGUAUGGGAUGGGGAUGAGGACAGGGAUGGGGACGAGGUGGGAUGGGAGGGACAGAGAUUUGGGAAUGGGUGGGGUGGGAAUGAGAAUGGGGAUGGGAUAGGAUGGGGACAGGAAUGGGUAUGGGGUGAGAAUGGGAUGGGAAUGAGAUUUGGGUUGGGAUGGGAUGGAGUGGGCAUGCAGUGAGAGUGGGAUGGGGAUGGCAUAGGAUGAGGAUAGCGACCGGGAUGGGAAUGGGAUAGGAAUGGGAUGGAAUGGGAUGGGGAUGCGAUUUGGGAUGAGGAUAGGAUGGAAUGGGCAUGCAAUGAGGAUGAGAGGGGGAUGGGAUGGGGAUGAGGAUAGCAACAGGGAUAGGGACAGAGACAGGGAUGAAGAUGGAUGGGGAUGAGGAUUAGGGCGGGGAGGGGAAUGAGUAUGGGAUGGUAUGGGGGCAGGAAUGGGGAUGGGAUGGAAGUGGGAUAGGGAUGGGGAUGGGUGAGGAUAGAGAUGAGGAUGGGGACAGGAAUGGGGAUGGAGAUGGGAUAGGAUGGGAAUGAGGAUGGAGAUGGGAUAGGAUGGGAAUGAGGGUGGGGAUGGGGUUAAGAUGGAGAUGGGACAGGAUGGAAAUGAGGGUGGGGUGAAGAUGGAGAUGGGAUAGGAUGGGAAUAGGGUGAAGAUGGAGAUGAGGCAGGAUGGGAAUGAAGACAGGGAUGGGGUGAAGAUGGAGAUGGGAUGGGAAUGAGGGCAGGGAUGGGGAUGGAGAUGGGAUAGGAUGGGAUAGGAUGGAAAUGAGGGCAGGGACGGGGAUGGGAUGGAGAUGGGAUGGGAAUGGGAUAAAGAUGGAGAUGGGAUAGGAUGGGAAUGGGGAUGGGGUGAAGAUGGAGAUGGGAUAGGAUGGAAAUGAGGGUGGGGAUGGGGUGAAGAUGGAGAUGGGAUGGGGAUGGGGUGAAGAGGGAGAUGGGGCAGGAUGGGAAUGAGGGUGGGGAUGGGGUGAAGAUGGAGAUGGGAUGGGAAUGAGGACAGGGAUGGGGAUGGGGUGAAGAUGGAAAUGGGAUAGGAUGGAAAUGAGGGUGGGGAUGGGGGUGGGGUGAAGAUGGAGAUGGGAUGGGAAUGAGGGCAGGGAUGGGGACGGAGAUGGGAAGGAGGGCAGGAACAGAGAGGGGAUGCGGACAGCGAUGGGGAUGGAUGGGAAUGGGGAGGGGAUGGGCUCAGAUGGGUCCAUCUCCGCACCCGGCCGAGGGAAGGCGCCGCGCUCGGAGCGGACCCCGGACUGAGCGCAGGGCUGAAGCUCCGCGCCUGAGAGCCGAACCCUCCGCGCUUAACUCUGCGCGGCCGGGCUGGGAAUCCGCGCGGGGUUACGGUGGGGAAGCGAUCCUUUCCGGCGCUGCCCUCCCGCCUCGUUAAUCCCGUCUGAUGGAAUUAAGGAGCCGUCCUCAAUAAACCUCUUUGCUCACAGCUCCUC
ensembl:lncRNA